UCCUUUGGAGAGUUAAAGUUUCAAGUGAAAAUCUAAAAUGAUCAAAGUUGAUUAAAUUUGACCUGACAAAGUGAUUUUUUGAAAUGGAUGGUUGAUUGAACUUAAAGUUAUCUUGAAUUUCACCAAGAACAAACUUUAUUUCCUAUCGAUAAUAAUAUCAAAAUUGUUACUAUUUCAACUUGGGAGUGAUUUUAAAGUUGACGAUGAAGUAAUAACUCUUAUUACAUAUAAAACUUGAUUGUUUAUCAACUAAACUGAACAGCAUCUAAAAAUGAGUGAAACUGCAAACCUUAACAAUAUCGAGACGUUGAUUAUUAUUUGUCUUGACACAUUUGGAUACCAAACCUCAACAACAACAAUGAUGUAUUUUGUGAAUCUAAUGUUUCCCUUGAUAAAAAUUUCUUUAACCUUUCUUUUCAAAUUGACAAGUUUUCCCUAUUGUUGUUGGUUAACUUGACUUUAACCGGAAACCUGAUGAUAUAAAAGGAUUGAUGAUGGAUAUAAGAUGAAGAUAACCUUACCUCAUGGGAUUAAUUGUUAGCCUUAUAUGAUAUGAUAUUGAUGAGGAGAAACGUUGUUACAAUUAAUAUCCAAAGCUCCUGAGUCAUAUAAAUGGUUCACUUUGGCUUUGAAAUUAUUUCGAUCGUUCUUUCUCUCAAUCGCUUCCAGUUUUACGCCUUCACUGAUUGAUCGCAAUUUGAUUUGCUUCGAUCAUUUCAAUUGUUUUCGUCUUUUGCCUUCGAUUCCACUUCUUUACCUGAAUGGUUUGUCUCGUUAAUUGAAUGUUGUCCAAUUUCAUGUGAAAUUUGUUGAGAAAGGUUCAGUGUUAUAUUGACAUUGAAAAUUUUCAAGUUUACUUUAAAUUUUCCAGUUUCUUUGUUAACUCGACUUGGUUGAUGUUGACUUGAUUUGAUGAUCAUUAAUUUAAUUAGUAAAGUAAUUUUUUACCUUCCAAAUCAACUAAAUUCACAUUGAGAUUGAUUAGCUUUGAGUUGCUGUAACUUAUAAGUUAUAACUUUAAUUGGAGUCAAAUUGUCACGUUAAGACCUUUUAACUUUCCCCUUCUAAAUCUUUUCCUGUCUAUAAGUCUGUCUGUUAAUCUUUUAAUUUAAUUUCAUAUCAUUCUCUUCAUUCAUUUGAAAGCUUUUCAGUUCCAUUUCUCCUUCUUUAUCCCCUCUUUAUUCAAGUCUAUCUCAAUGAAUGCAAUGAGAAAACAUUUCAAGUUAAUGAGAUUAAAAAACAGUUACAUUGCAAAGUGAAGAGAAGUGUAAAGUUAAAAGUAAUCAACAAUACAAAAUGGUAAACAGUUAAUACAACAAUUACAAUUAAAUCUUUUCUUGAUUGGCUUGUCAACCCAACCAACUUUUAACUUUCACAAUUGCUUUUCAUUUUAGUUAAUCAACUUGAACACAACUUGUUGGAUGAAGACAAAAGGACGAACAAGAAUUGAAGUGAUCAAAGGCGAAAAAAUAUAAUCUAAUAAUCUAAUUGAUUCAGCUUUUGUUUUUUCCCAAGUUCCAACGCUGAUUAGCUGACAAACUACCAUUUGGUUAAUUACAAUUAACUAAUGUGUACAAAAAAAAACAAGAUUGGUGACAAUUUUGUUCAUCUCAGUGAACAGCUUCUAAUUAUGCAAACAAUAAAGUUGGCUGAUACGGUACAGUUUGAGCAUUGAUUACACCGUAAUUGCAGAUUAUUGGAAUAAACUUAAUCCAUCAAAAAUACAAUAAAAAAAGUGAUUCAAGUUUUGACAGUCAUUUGUGCAAGUUGAACCAAUAUUGAAGCAAAGGAAACUCAAGCAAUCCCAGAUUAUCACUAAGAACGUCUCAUUGAAACGGAAAGCGAUUGUUGUUACCAAUUGUUACACUGAAUGAUGAUUAUCGUCAAGAUAUAAACCACCAGUCAUUUAAAUCACCAGUUACCAUCAAGUAUCAAAGAAAAGAAAACGUUUUUCUGCUCUUUUUUUCGCUGCUCUCGAUUCAAAGUUGCAAAGCGAUUAUAAAGCGUCUAUUGUACAAAUCAAAUGUAAUCAAUUGACCAAGUGACCUGCAAAAUUGGCAGAAACAUGAAAGACCAACAAGAAAAGGCCAAAAGUGUAACACCGACAAUGUAAAUUGAAAAAGAUUGUUACUCAACCAAAUGAUGCACAAAGCAAAAAUAGACAAAAAGGCAUUCCAAUUAAUUGAUAUCCAUCAAACGUAAAAGUAAAUGUUGGAAAUCCUUUACUUCUCUAAUAACAAAUAAUGAUGCUGAUGAUACUGGAAACGAUGAUAGUAGUCUAGAUAAUAAUAGUUAAAAAUAGUUGAAAUAUACAUUUUUUGAAUCUCUCUUCCACAUUCAUAUCAUCACCACCGUCAUCAUCUUGACAUGAUAUUGUUUAGCAAUAUAUUGCAACAAGGAGAAGAAGAAGGUAAAAAGCUAAACACAAAAAGGACAACCAUGAAUAUAAAAGUGAUCCCGGUGAAUUGACAGAGGAUGAUGCUGAUGAAAAGGAAUCUAAUCAUAUGUUACGUUGGAUGACAAAAGAGGGAAAAAGAGAGAGAGGAUUAAAAUCAAAUGAUGAUAACCAUCUAAGCACAAGAAUUUCGCCUUCAUUGCCAUCUUCAAUAAGAUACUCGUCAAUCUUGAGCUCAUCUGUUUUUUUCUACCUCUUAUAAUAAUAGUUGUCUUCUGUGGUUGUCGUCUCUCUUCAAGAACAGCAACUGUCAACAUCUUUCCAGUAUUACCUUCAUCUUGAUCCAUUUUUUGCUUCAUUUUCAUCAUCUUCUUCACUAUUUUAAGAUCUUUUCUUGCAUGAAGUUACAUAUUUUUUUAUAUAUAUAAUACAAGUACACGGUUUAUACAAUAUGCAACAAUAGUUUCAUUUUCAAUCGA